rnacentral:rRNA from 1 species
UGAUCAAGCUACAAAGAGCGCAUCAUGGAUGCCUUGGUGCCAAUAGGCGAUGAAGGACGUGGUAAGCUGCGAUAAGCUACGGACAGCGGCAAACACGCUUUGACCCGUAGAUCUCCGAAUGGGGUAACCUGAGCAAGAUAACACUUGCUCGAGUUCCUGUGAAUCCAUAGCAGGAACAUCGCGACACCCGGCGAAGUGAAACAUCUCAGUAACCGGAGGAAGAGAAAUCGAAAGAGAUUCCGUCAGUAGUGGCGAGCGAAAGCGGAACAGGCUAAACCCAGCACUUUCAGUUGAUUUGAAAACUGCAUCUAAUUGGCGAUUCAAAAAUGAGGUGGCCAAUUUGAGCAGUGAAGUCAAUUGAAAGUGCUGGGGGUUGUAGGAGCCCGACGUGGUAGUGCAAAGGUUAGGUGAAGCUUCUGGAAAGCUGCGCCAUAGAGGGUGAAAGGCCCGUAACCGAAAACCGGAGCACGCCUAGGGAUUUCCUGAGUAAUACGAUGCACGUGAAAC